CAGUAGCCGCGGGAAUACAGAGGGUGCGAGCGUUAAUCGGAUUUACUGGGCGUAAAGCGUGCGUAGGCGGCUUCUUAAGUCGGAUGUGAAAUCCCUGAGCUUAACUUAGGAAUUGCAUUCGAUACUGGGAAGCUAGAGUAUGGGAGAGGAUGGUAGAAUUCCAGGUGUAGCGGUGAAAUGCGUAGAGAUCUGGAGGAAUACCGAUGGCGAAGGCAGCCAUCUGGCCUAAUACUGACGCUGAGGUACGAAAGCAUCGGGAGCAAACAGGAUUAGAUACCCCGGUAGUCCCUGUCUCUUAUAC
rnacentral:rRNA from 1 species